UACGUAGGGUGCAAGCGUUUAAUCGGAAUUACUGGGCGUAAAGCGUGCGCAGGCGGUUGUGCAAGACCGAUGUGAAAUCCCCGGGCUUAACCUGGGAAUGGCAUUGGUGACUGCACGGCUAGAGUGUGUCAGAGGGGGGUAGAAUUCCACGUGUAGCAGUGAAAUGCGUAGAGAUGUGGACGGAAUACCGAUGGCGAAGGCCAGCCCCCUGGGAUAACACUGACGCUCAUGGCACGAAAGCGUGGGGAGCAAACAGG
rnacentral:rRNA from 1 species